rnacentral:tRNA from 1 species
AUCUUGAUAGUUUAAUUUAAAUAUCACUCUGUGGUUGUGAAGUUAUUUAGGUUUAAGAUA